rnacentral:rRNA from 1 species
UACGUAGGGUGCGAGCGUUGUCCGGAAUUACUGGGCGUAAAGAGCUCGUAGGUGGUUUGUCGCGUUGUCCGUGAAAACUCACAGCUUAACUGUGGGCGUGCGGGCGAUACGGGCAGACUGGAGUACUGCAGAGGAGACUGGAAUUCCUGGUGUAGCAGUGAAAUGCGUAGAUAUCAGGAGGAACACCGAUGGCGAAGGCAGGUCCCUGGGCUGACACUGACGCUCAUGCACGAAAGCGUGGGGAGCAAACAGG